rnacentral:rRNA from 1 species
GACGAACGCUGGCGGCGUGCUUAACACAUGCAAGUCGAACGGAAAGGCCUCUUUCGGGGGGUACUCGAGUGGCGAACGGGUGAGUAACACGUGAGUAACCUGCCCUUGACUUUGGGAUAACUUCAGGAAACUGGGGCUAAUACCGGAUAGGAGCUCCUGCUGCAUGGUGGGGGUUGGAAAGUUUCGGCGGUUGGGGAUGGACUCGCGGCUUAUCAGCUUGUUGGUGGGGUAGUGGCUUACCAAGGCUUUGACGGGUAGCCGGCCUGGGAGGGUGACCGGGCACAAUGGGGCUGGGAUACGGCCCAGACUCCUACGGGGGGCAGCAGUGGGGAAUAUUGCACAAUGGGUGGAAGCCUGAUGCAGCAACGCCGGGGGCGGGAUGACGGGCUUCGGGUUGUAAACCGCUUUCGCUCAGGACGAAGCUUUGUGUGACGGUAGUGGGUAAAGAAGCACCGGCUAACUACGUG